CCGCCUCCCGGGUUCCAGCGACUCUCCCAAGUAUCUGGGACAACAGGCACGUGCCACCUCAGCCAGCUAGUUUUUCACUUGUAGUAGAGACGGGGUUUCACCAUGUUGGUCAAGCUGGUCUCAAACUCCUGACCUCAGGUGAUCUGCCUGCCUUGGCCUCCCAAAGUGCUGGAAUUACAGGUGUGAGCCACCGCGCUCGGCCUUGUAUCUUUAUUCUACUGGUUACUUUUAUACUAAUCUUCUGUAGUGCUCUUAUUCCCUUUUUUCUGUCUUAACCUGUUACUAUCUGUCUUUUCUAGAUGAUACUGAUUCCCACCUAUAUGUCAGUCAAUGGUCUUACUCUACUUUUCCACUUUUCUCUCCCUUCUCCCACCUUUUUAGUUGUAUUUGUUCUACUUUAUCAGUAUAUAAUGUUUACAUGUCUUCCUGUGUUUCAUUAACCCAUGAUCCAACUGUUACAUUAUUCUCAGCUCUACUGUCAAAUAUGUGAAAUGCUCUCUGUUGGUCCUUUUGUUCCCAGAAGUCUUUUGGUUCGGUGAAACUCACCCUCCAGUAAGCUGCUCAGCAAGGGCACGUGUACUCUGUUCCUGGAAUUCUGGUAAGAGAAGCACUGUUCUUCACAUCUCUGUUUGUCAAAGAAUUCACCUACAUCAGAAUCACCUAUGAGUCUCGCCAAAUAUUGCAGUUUCCCAGAUCCCAUUCUGGGCUUACUGAGAUCAUCUCUGGAGACCCAGAACUCUGCAUUUUCAACAAGCACACACACGCACACACACCCAUGAUUAAGCUAUGAAGGAUCAUAAAAAUCACGGCUUUGGAUACUG